GACGAACGCUGGCGGCGUGCCUAAUACAUGCAAGUCGAACGAACCGCGACUAGGUGCUUGCACUUGGUCAAGGUGAGUGGCGAACGGGUGAGUAACACGUGGGUAACCUACCUCAUAGUGGGGGAUAACAGUCGGAAACGACUGCUAAUACCGCAUAGGACAUAGGAUCACAUGAUCCAGUGAGGAAAGGUGGCGCAAGCUAUCGCUAAGAGAUGGACCCGCGGUGCAUUAGCUAGUUGGUAGGGUAAAGGCCUACCAAGGCGAUGAUGCAUAGCCGACCUGAGAGGGUGAUCGGCCACAUUGGGACUGAGACACGGCCCAAACUCCUACGGGAGGCAGCAGUAGGGAAUCUUCCGCAAUGGACGCAAGUCUGACGGAGCAACGCCGCGUGAGUGAAGAAGGUCUUCGGAUCGUAAAGCUCUGUUGUUAGUGAAGAACAGCGCAUAGAGUAACUGUUAUGCGUGUGACGGUAUCUAACCAGAAAGCCACGGCUAACUACGUG
rnacentral:rRNA from 1 species